AACGAACGCUGGCGGCAUGCCUAACACAUGCAAGUCGAACGAGACCUUCGGGCCUAGUGGCGCACGGGUGCGUAACGAGUGGGAACCUGCACUUAGGUUAGGAAUAACUCCCUGAAAGGGGACCUAAUACCGGUUAAUGUCUUCGGAACAAAGAUUUUUCGCCUUUGGAUGGGCCCGCGUUGGAUUAGCUAGUUGGUAGGGUAAAAGCCUACCAAGGCGACGAUCCAUGGCUGGUCUGAGAGGAUGAUCUGACACACUGGGACUGAGACACGGCCCAGACUCCGACGGAAGGCAGCAGUGGGGUAUAUUGGACAAUGAGCGAAAACCUGAUCCAGCAAUGCCGCGUGAGUCAUGAAUGCCUUAGGGUUGUAAAGCUCUUUUACCCGGGAUGAUAAUGACAGUACCGGGAGAAUAAGCUCCGGCUAACUCCGUG
rnacentral:rRNA from 1 species